rnacentral:lncRNA from 10 species
GAGGGAGCGUCCGCGGCCCGCGCGCCCGCGCGGCGGAGGAGAGGUGUUAAGUGUGAUGCUUCCAUAAUACAUUUGGAUGCUGUCAGCUAAGUUCACUUCUGAACUAAGGGGUUCCUCCAAAUGUUGGCUGAAAUUCAUCCCAAGGCUGGUCUGCAAUUACCUAUUUCUUUUAAGAAUAAAUUUAGUGGGAAUAUCAGUUCCAGUCAUGGGUACCAAACUUUUUUAGUGACAGAGUACACACAGAGUCUGCAAUUCAUAAUGGAGCUACUGUACUGGCUAUUGGAAGGAGGAGAUUCUGAAGAUAAGGAGGUAAAACCUGUUUAGAAAUUAAAAAUGAGUUACGAUUUAAAGAAAAUUCAGAUGACUCAUUGUGAGUGCUAGUUCUCUUGUAGGAUGCCACUGGAAAUGUUGAAAUGAAAAAUAUUCAGCCGUUGGUCUUUGAAAUUUCCUGUGAUGUGU